rnacentral:rRNA from 1 species
CCUACGGGCGGCAGCAGUGAGGAAUAUUGGUCAAUGGGCGGAAGCCUGAACCAGCCAAGUAGCGUGCAGGAUGACGGCCCUACGGGUUGUAAACUGCUUUUAUACGGGAAUAACGCGCCUUACGUGUAGGGCUUUGCAUGUACCGUAUGAAUAAGGACCGGCAAAUUCCGUGCCAGCAGCCGCGGUAAUACGGAAGGUCCGGGCGUUAUCCGGAUUUAUUGGGUUUAAAGGGUGCGUAGGCGGAACAUUAAGUCAGCGGUAAAAUCGAGGGGCUCAACCCCUUUAAGCCGUUGAAACUGGGGAUCUUGAGUGGGCGAGAAGUAUGCGGAAUGCGUGGUGUAGCGGUGAAAUGCAUAGAUAUCACGCAGAACUCCGAUGGCGAAGGCAGCAUACCGGCGCCCGACUGACGCUGAGGCACGAAAGCGUGGGGAUCGAACAGGAUUAGAUACCCUUGUAGUC